GGCGAACGGGUGAGUAACACGUGGGCAACCUGCCCCUCGCAGGGGGACAACCGGAGGAAACUCCGGCUAAUACCCCGUACGCUUGUUGGAUCGCAUGGUCCGACAAGGAAAGGUAGCUUCGGCCAUUCGGCGAGGGAUGGGCCCGCGUUGCAUUAGCUAGUUGGUGGGGUAACGGCCUACCAAGGCGACGAUGCGUAGCUGGUCUGAGAGGAUGAUCAGCCACACUGGGACUGAGACACGGCCCAGACUCCUACGGGAGGCAGCAGCCAGGAAUCUUGGGCAAUGGGCGAAAGCCUGACCCAGCAACACCGUGUGGGUGACGAAGGCCUAGGGGUCGUAAAGCCCUGUUGAUAGGGACGAAGGGCGAAGGGUUAAUAGCCCCUAGCUUGACGGUACCUUUCGAGGAAGCCCCGGCUAACUACGUGCCAGCAGCCGCGGUAAUACGUAGGGGGCGAGCGUUGUCCGGAAUUAUUGGGCGUAAAGAGCGUGUAGGCGGUUCGGUAAGUCUGCUGUGAAAUCCUGGGGCUCAACCCUGGGCGUGCAGCGGAUACUGCCGGGCUAGAGGGUGGUAGAGGCGAGUGGAAUUCCGAGUGUAGCGGUGAAAUGCGCAGAUAUUCGGAGGAACACCAGUAGCGAAGGCGGCUCGCUGGGCCACACCUGACGCUGAGACGCGAAAGCGUGGGGAGCGAACAGGAUUAGAUACCCUGGUAGUCCACGCCGUAAACGAUGGAUACUGGGUGUGGGCGGAGUCGAAUCUGUCUGUGCCGAAGUUAACGCGUUAAGUAUCCCGCCUGGGGAGUACGGCCGCAAGGCUAAAACUCAAAAGAAUUGACGG
rnacentral:rRNA from 1 species